GUGGUUGCUUCAAAAGUUUAUAUACUAAAAUUAGAAUGAUAGAGAAGUUUAGCAUGGCUCUGUGGAAGGAUGACAUGAAUUCACGCAGUAUUUCAUAUUUUU
rnacentral:snRNA from 1 species